rnacentral:rRNA from 1 species
UACAGAGGUCUCAAGCGUUGUUCGGAUUUAUUGGGCGUAAAGGGUGCGCAGGCUGUAUGGUAAGUUUGGUGUGAAAUCCUGGAGCUUAACUCCAGAAUUGCACUGAAUACUGCCGUGCUAGAGGACUGGAGAGGAGAUUGGAAUUCACGGUGUAGCAGUGAAAUGCGUAGAUAUCGUGAGGAAGACCAGUGGCGAAGGCGAAUCUCUGGACAGUUCCUGACGCUCAUGCGCGAAGGCCAGGGGAGCAAACGGG